rnacentral:rRNA from 1 species
AUUGAACGCUGGCGGCAGGCCUAACACAUGCAAGUCGAACGGAAGGACGGUGCUUGCUUGGGGUUUCAGCGGGGGAAGGGGGAGUGAAGCAUGGGAAUAUCCGGGGCUGGGGGUUAGUACGUCCUGAAGCAGGCGCGAAUACCGCAUAAGUGCAGAGGGAGCAGGUGGGGGAGCUUCGGACCUUACGCUAUGAGGGGAGUGGAGGCGGGAUUGGCUAGUUGGUGGGUUGAGGGCCUACAAAGCCGACGAUCCGUAGCUGGUCUGAGAGGAUGAGUGGCCACACUGGAACUGAGACACGGUCCAGACUCCUACGGGAGGCAGCAGUGGGGAAUAUGGGACAAUGGGCGAAAGCCUGAUCCAGCCAUGCCGCGUGUGUGAAGAAGGCCUUCGGAUUGUAAAGCCCUUCUAGUGGGUAAGAACCGCAGUAGGUUAAUACCUAGCUGUUUUGACGGUACCAAGAGAAUAAGCACCGGCUAACUUCGUG